UCUGGUGUAACCACACUAGGUGUAUCCCCCACUUACCACCCCCACGCCUCUCACUUCUUUCACCCCCGUGUAUAUGUGACACCAUAUAUUAAUAUAAACAUGCAGUAGGAGCCUUUCCUACGGUUUGCAGUGUCAAAAAAAGCAAGCCCGAAAACACGGGAAGGCGAGCGGAUCAUAGGAGUCUAGUUAGUGAACAAAUCACAGAUUGCCAAAGAUACCUAAAAAUUACGUCCAAGAAUAAUGGCCAAAUUCAGCCGAACUGAUCGUCCUCCACUCAGCCAUGGCAGGGCAACACUUCUAUCCCGUGGUGGUGGAGACGUGGAGUACCCUAGGCGGUUGAGCAGGGAAAGGAGCACAAGAUACUAGCGCGGCCUGCGAUGACGAAGUCACCAUGAACUGCUCCGCCUCCUCAUCCUUCUUUUGGCGCCACACGACGAUGAAGACACGGACUGCUGGACCUCCUCGUCGUUCUCUCCGGCAGUGGUGUCGUGCAUCAAGGCGAUAGCGCCAACACGGUCUGACUCAGGGGAGAAGAAAAUCUUGGGAGGAGCCCUUCCUCCGGUGGCGGCGACGGAUCUGGGAUGGGAUGAGGCGUCGGCGAAGAGGUAGCGCACCAAGAAGGGAGGGCGAGGCAAAUCGGACGAAAGACUGGGAGGGUUUGUGGGCCGCGACGAUGGUGCAACGAGGUUUGGAGCCCUAGAGCUGGGGAGAGGAAAUAAGUGAGAGGGAGGAAGCGUGCGUGGACUGUCUU
rnacentral:lncRNA from 1 species